UUAAGCGACUAAGCGUACACGGUGGAUGCCCUGGCAGUCAGAGGCGAUGAAGGACGUGCUAAUCUGCGAAAAGCGUCGGUAAGGUGAUAUGAACCGUUACAGCCGGCGAUGUCCGAAUGGGGAAACCCAGUGUGAUUCGUCACACUAUCGUUAACUGAAUACAUAGGUUAACGAGGCGAACCGGGGGAACUGAAACAUCUAAGUACCCCGAGGAAAAGAAAUCAACCGAGAUUCCCCCAGUAGCGGCGAGCGAACGGGGAGCAGCCCAGAGUCUGAAUCAGCUUGUGUGUUAGUGGAACGGUCUGGAAAGUCCGACGGUACAGGGUGAUAGUCCCGUACACCAAAAUGCACAGGCUGUGAACUCGAAGAGUAGGGCGGGACACGUGGUAUCCUGUCUGAAUAUGGGGGGACCAUCCUCCAAGGCUAAAUACUCCUGACUGACCGAUAGUGAACCAGUACCGUGAGGGAAAGGCGAAAAGAACCCCGGCGAGGGGAGUGAAAAAGAACCUGAAACCGUGUACGUACAAGCAGUGGGAGCACCUUUAUGGUGUGACUGCGUACCUUUUGUAUAAUGGGUCAGCGACUUAUAUUCUGUAGCAAGGUUAACCGUAUAGGGGAGCCGCAGGGAAACCGAGUCUUAACUGGGCGUUAAGUUGCAGGGUAUAGACCCGAAACCCGGUGAUCUAGCCAUGGGCAGGUUGAAGGUUGGGUAACACUAACUGGAGGACCGAACCGACUAAUGUUGAAAAAUUAGCGGAUGACUUGUGGCUGGGGGUGAAAGGCCAAUCAAACCGGGAGAUAGCUGGUUCUCCCCGAAAGCUAUUUAGGUAGCGCCUCGUGAACUCAUCUUCGGGGGUAGAGCACUGUUUCGGCUAGGGGGUCAUCCCGACUUACCAACCCGAUGCAAACUACGAAUACCGAAGAAUGUUAUCACGGGAGACACACGGCGGGUGCUAACGUCCGUCGUGAAGAGGGAAACAACCCAGACCGCCAGCUAAGGUCCCAAAGUCAUGGUUAAGUGGGAAACGAUGUGGGAAGGCACAGACAGCCAGGAUGUUGGCUUAGAAGCAGCCAUCAUUUAAAGAAAGCGUAAUAGCUCACUGGUCGAGUCGGCCUGCGCGGAAGAUGUAACGGGGCUAAACCAUGCACCGAAGCUGCGGCAGCGACACGAUGUGUUGUUGGGUAGGGGAGCGUUCUGUAAGCCUGCGAAGGUGACCUGUGAGGGUUGCUGGAGGUAUCAGAAGUGCGAAUGCUGACAUAAGUAACGAUAAAGCGGGUGAAAAGCCCGCUCGCCGGAAGACCAAGGGUUCCUGUCCAACGUUAAUCGGGGCAGGGUGAGUCGACCCCUAAGGCGAGGCCGAAAGGCGUAGUCGAUGGGAAACAGGUUAAUAUUCCUGUACUUGGUGUUACUGCGAAGGGGGGACGGAGAAGGCUAUGUUAGCCGGGCGACGGUUGUCCCGGUUUAAGCAUGUAGGCUGGUUAUCCAGGCAAAUCCGGAUAAUCAAGGCUGAGGUGUGAUGACGAGGCACUACGGUGCUGAAGUAACAAAUGCCCUGCUUCCAGGAAAAGCCUCUAAGCAUCAGGUAACAUCAAAUCGUACCCCAAACCGACACAGGUGGUCAGGUAGAGAAUACCAAGGCGCUUGAGAGAACUCGGGUGAAGGAACUAGGCAAAAUGGUGCCGUAACUUCGGGAGAAGGCACGCUGGUGUGUAGGUGAAGCCCCUGCGGGUGGAGCUGAGACCAGUCGAAGAUACCAGCUGGCUGCAACUGUUUAUUAAAAACACAGCACUGUGCAAACACGAAAGUGGACGUAUACGGUGUGACGCCUGCCCGGUGCCGGAAGGUUAAUUGAUGGGGUUAUCCGUAAGGAGAAGCUCUUGAUCGAAGCCCCGGUAAACGGCGGCCGUAACUAUAACGGUCCUAAGGUAGCGAAAUUCCUUGUCGGGUAAGUUCCGACCUGCACGAAUGGCGUAAUGAUGGCCAGGCUGUCUCCACCCGAGACUCAGUGAAAUUGAACUCGCUGUGAAGAUGCAGUGUACCCGCGGCAAGACGGAAAGACCCCGUGAACCUUUACUAUAGCUUGACACUGAACAUUGAGCCUUGAUGUGUAGGAUAGGUGGGAGGCUUUGAAGCGUGGACGCCAGUCUGCGUGGAGCCAACCUUGAAAUACCACCCUUUAAUGUUUGAUGUUCUAACGUUGGCCCCUUAUCGGGGUUGCGGACAGUGUCUGGUGGGUAGUUUGACUGGGGCGGUCUCCUCCCAAAGCGUAACGGAGGAGCACGAAGGUUAGCUAAUCCUGGUCGGACAUCAGGAGGUUAGUGCAAUGGCAUAAGCUAGCUUGACUGCGAGCGUGACGGCGCGAGCAGGUGCGAAAGCAGGUCAUAGUGAUCCGGUGGUUCUGAAUGGAAGGGCCAUCGCUCAACGGAUAAAAGGUACUCCGGGGAUAACAGGCUGAUACCGCCCAAGAGUUCAUAUCGACGGCGGUGUUUGGCACCUCGAUGUCGGCUCAUCACAUCCUGGGGCUGAAGUAGGUCCCAAGGGUAUGGCUGUUCGCCAUUUAAAGUGGUACGCGAGCUGGGUUUAGAACGUCGUGAGACAGUUCGGUCCCUAUCUGCCGUGGGCGCUGGAGAAUUGAGGGGGGCUGCUCCUAGUACGAGAGGACCGGAGUGGACGCAUCACUGGUGUUCGGGUUGUCAUGCCAAUGGCACUGCCCGGUAGCUAAAUGCGGAAGAGAUAAGUGCUGAAAGCAUCUAAGCACGAAACUUGCCCCGAGAUGAGUUCUCCCUGAGGCUUUAAGUCUCCUGAAGGAACGUUGAAGACGACGACGUUGAUAGGCCGGGUGUGUAAGCGCAGCGAUGCGUUGAGCUAACCGGUACUAAUGAACCGUGAGGCUUAACCUU
rnacentral:rRNA from 2 species